ACCUGCAUCUGCCAACAAGACUGGAAGCAGGUGAGGCACACAGAGGGGGAGGCCCGCAGCUGCGUGGGAGGAGGGGUGGUCUGAGGGACGUGGGAUGCCGGGAAUGAGGCUGGUUUGCAGGUUGGCGCAUGGACAUUUUCCCAGAAAGGGACAGAGACGGCGAAGUUUGACGGUCUGGAAAGCAGAGACCAGCAGGGCUGACUGCUUGGGAGCACCAAAUAUCCGGACAGCGCCUCUCGGGAGGUCCGAGAAGAGAACCGCGAUCUGUUUCAGCACCGGGGCUCAGGACAGUUCCCAGCGGGCUCCGUUUCGUCUCCAGAACCCUGGACAGCUCCUCCAGCCUCCCAAAGUGCUAGGAUUACAGGCGUGAGUCACUGCGCCUGGCCCAAGUCCGGAAUUUUCAACAGGACAUGGGUGUUACUGUGCCCAUGUGACAUUUGGGGAACCCAAGGCCCUGAGAAAGGCAGAAAAAUAACCCACGCAGGGACUCUCAGCCCACAAGUGAAGCUCUUGGAAUGCACUCCCUCCACCUCCAACCAGAGCUCCCCACAACUGACCCUGCCUUCUUCUGCAAGCUCCAUUUCAUCAAGGGAAACGAUCCUUAUUGCCUCACCAUUUCCCACGUGAAGUCUGUAUUGACAUUCUCAUAGACCUGGGAUAUUGUGUCUGCAGCACAUAGUCCAAUUAUUUUCAUGUUAUCUACUGACAGGUCUAUUUGUCUCCCUGUUACACUGUGAGCUCCGUGAGGGCAGAAACAAUGUUAGUAUUUUCACUGCUGUGUCCCCAGCGCCUGGUCCGGGGCCCGGCACACAGCAGGCAUAUAAUAAGCAUGUGUUGAAUCAAUAAAGGCAUCAAAGAAUAAACCAAUACAUCAAUCAA
rnacentral:lncRNA from 1 species